rnacentral:rRNA from 1 species
GACGAACGCUGGCGGCGUGCUUAACACAUGCAAGUCGAACGGUAAGGCCCUUCGGGGUACACGAGUGGCGAACGGGGGAGUAACACGUGGGUGAUCUGCCGUGCACUUCGGGAUAAGCCUGGGAAACUGGGGCUAAUACCGGAUAGGACCAAUGCCUGUAUGGGUGGUGGUGGAAAGCCUUUGCGGUGUGGGAUGGGCCCGCGGCCUAUCAGCUUGGUGGUGGGGUGUUGGCCUACCAAGGCGACGACGGGUAGCCGGCCUGAGAGGGUGACCGGCCACACUGGGACUGAGAUACGGCCCAGACUCCUACGGGAGGCAGCAGUGGGGAAUAUUGCACAAUGGGCGCAAGCCUGAUGCAGCGACGCCGCGUGAGGGAUGACGGCCUUCGGGUUAUAAACCUCUUUCAGCACCGACGAAGCGCAAGUGACGGUAGGUGCGGAAGAAGGACCGGCCAACUACGUGCCAGCCGCCGCCGUAAAAC